rnacentral:rRNA from 1 species
UACGUAGGGUGCAAGCGUUGUCCGGAAUUAUUGGGCGUAAAGAGCUCGUAGGCGGUUUGUCGCGUCUGCUGUGAAAACUCGGGGCUUAACUCCGGGCCUGCAGUGGGUACGGGCAGACUAGAGUGCGGUAGGGGAGACUGGAAUUCCUGGUGUAGCGGUGAAAUGCGCAGAUAUCGGGAGGAACACCAAUGGCGAAGGCAGCUCGCUGGGACGUGACUGACGCUGAGACGCGAAAGCGUGGGGAGCAAACAGG